rnacentral:rRNA from 1 species
AUUGAACGCUGGCGGCAGGCUUAACACAUGCAAGUCGAGCGGGGUGAUGGUGCUUGCACUAUCACUUAGCGGCGGACGGGUGAGUAAUGCUUAGGAAUCUGCCUAUUAGUGGGGGACAACAUCUCGAAAGGGAUGCUAAUACCGCAUACGUACUACGGGAGAAAGCAGGGGAUCACUUGUGACCUUGCGCUAAUAUAUGAGCCUAAGUCGGAUUAGCUAGUUGGUGGGGUAAAGGCCUACCAAGGCGACGAUCUGUAGCGGGUCUGAGAGGAUGAUCCGCCACACUGGGACUGAGACACGGCCCAGACUCCUACGGGAGGCAGUAGUGGGGAAUAUUGGACAAUGGGGGAACCCUGAUCCAGCCAUGCCGCGUGUGUGAAGAAGGCCUUAUGGUUGUAAAGCACUUUAAGCGAGGAGGAGGCUCUUUUGGUUAAUACCCAAGAUGAGUGGACGUUACUCGCAGAAUAAGCACCGGCUAACUCUGUGCCAGCAGCCGCCGUAA